UGGCAAAAGGGUGAGUAACGCGUGAGCAAUUUACCUUCAAGUGGGGAAUAACCUUGGGAAACCGAGGCUAAAACCGCAUAAGACCACGGCUCGGCAUCGAGCUGAGGUCAAAGAUGGGGACCGUAAGGCCUGUCGCUUGAGGAUGAGCUCGCGUCCUAUCAGCUUGUUGGCGGGGUAAUGGCCCACCAAGGCUUUUGACGGGUAGCUGGUCUGAGAGGAUGGUCAGCCACAUUGGGACUGAGACACUGCCCAGACUCCUACGGGAGGCUGCAGUCGAGAAUAUUUAGCAAUGCCCGAAAGGGUGACUAUGCGACGCCGCGUGUGCGAUGAAGGUCUUCGGAUUGUAAAGCACUGUCGGCUGGGAGGAAGGUAACUCUUCUAACACAAGAGUUGCUUGACAGUACCAGCAGAGGAAGCCACGGCUAACUCCGUGCCAGCAGCCGCGGUAAUACGGAGGUGGCAAGCGUUACUCGGAUUGAUUGGGUGUAAAGGGUUUGUAGGUGGCAUUUUAAGUCGAACGUGAAAUACCUUGGCUCAACCAAGGAACUGCGUUCGAUACUGAUUUGCUUGAGCGACAGAGAGGAAAGUGGAAUUCUCGGUGUAACAGUGAAAUGUGUAGAUAUCGAGAGGAACACCAGUGGCGAAGGCGACUUUCUGGCUGUCUGCUGACACUGAAAAACGAGAGCUAGGGGAGCAAACAGGAUUAGAUACCCUGGUAGUCCUAGCCGUAAACGAUGUGCACUAGGUGUCGGGCCCUCUGGGUUCGGUGCCGCAGUUAACACUUUAAGUGCACCACCUGGGGAGUACGGUCGCAAGACUGAAACUCAAGGAAUUGACGGGGACCCGCACAAGCGGUGGAGCAUGUGGUUUAAUACG
rnacentral:rRNA from 1 species